UAAUCCGGCAGGAUUAUCUUCUGUAUGGAUAGUGGCUGGCCGAAUAUGAGGGCCACUACCCUUUCCCGCGGAGUUUGUCCAGUGAGCUCCUCCUCUUCGAGACGGACCAGCGUUGGAAGCGAUUCCUCGGAGAUGGCCGGAUCUGGAUGUUGUUGUUGAUGGCUGCUCCGAUCCUGAUUUUGAGGCUGCAGCGGGCGGAAGUGUUGGAGCAGCUGUUGCAGAUAUCGUGGCCUCUGCAAUCGCUGUGGCUCAUACGGCUGCAGUAAUAGUUUCCGAGCCUCCGGAUUGACAUGGCAGGCCAAGGAGUUGGCGAAGCGCCCACUUGCCGCAUGGAACACUUCUUCAUUUGUGUCUAGAUUGCUUUGCACCCGCCGCAGCUGGGAAUCGGAUGUAAGUGCGCCCCAAACCGGAAGACCAUAUUGCCAAAUGGGCAUGAUGAGCUGCUUGAUGACGAUAGCCUUGAUUGCGUUAGGCAGCCGGCUUCUGGGUCCAGCAAGCCACUCCAGUUUUUUCGCUCUUGCUCUCAAUUUGUUGCAUAGUCCAGUUAUGUGAGAGUUAAAGGUAAGUUUUCUGUCCAGUUUUAUGCCUAAAUAGUCAUGCUUGUUGACAGAUGGAAUUACUUGACCAUUUAUAGCCGGCGGUUGCCUUAUGUCC